UAGCUACAGGCUUAACACAUGCAAGUCGAGGGGAAACGAUAUUGGAAGCUUGCUUCCGAUAGGCGUCGACCGGCGCACGGGUGAGUAACGCGUAUCCAACCUGCCCAUCACUUGGGGAUAACCUUGCGAAAGUAAGACUAAUACCCAAUGACGUCUCUAGGAGACAUCUGAAAGAGAUUAAAGAUUCAUCGGUGAUGGAUGGGGAUGCGUCUGAUUGGCUUGUUGGCGGGGUAACGGCCCACCAAGGCAACGAUCAGUAGGGGUUCUGAGAGGAAGGUCCCCCACAUUGGAACUGAGACACGGUCCAAACUCCUACGGGAGGCAGCAGUGAGGAAUAUUGGUCAAUGGACGAGAGUCUGAACCAGCCAAGUAGCGUGCAGGAAGACGGCCCUAUGGGUUGUAAACUGCUUUUAUAAGGGAAUAAAGUUAGUCUCGUGAGACUUUUUGCAUGUACCUUAUGAAUAAGGACCGGCUAAUUCCGUGCCAGCAGCCGCGGUAAUACGGAAGGUCCGGGCGUUAUCCGGAUUUAUUGGGUUUAAAGGGAGCGUAGGCCGGAGAUUAAGCGUGUUGUGAAAUGUAGACGCUCAACGUCUGCACUGCAGCGCGAACUGGUUUCCUUGAGUACGCACAAAGUGGGCGGAAUUCGUGGUGUAGCGGUGAAAUGCUUAGAUAUCACGAAGAACUCCGAUUGCGAAGGCAGCUCACUGGAGCGCAACUGACGCUGGAGCUCGAAAGUGCGGGUAUCGAACAGGAUUAGAUACCCUGGUAGUCCGCACGGUAAACGAUGGAUGCCCGCUGUUGGUCUGAAUAGGUCAGCGGCCAAGCGAAAGCAUUAAGCAUCCCACCUGGGGAGUACGCCGGCAACGGUGAAACUCAAAGGAAUUGACGGGGGCCCGCACAAGCGGAGGAACAUGUGGUUUAAUUCGAUGAUACGCGAGGAACCUUACCCGGGCUUGAAUUGCAGAGGAAGGAUUUGGAGACAAUGACGCCCUUCGGGGCCUCUGUGAAGGUGCUGCAUGGUUGUCGUCAGCUCGUGCCGUGAGGUGUCGGCUUAAGUGCCAUAACGAGCGCAACCCCUCUCCUUAGUUGCCAUCAGGUCAAGCUGGGCACUCUGGGGACACUGCCACCGUAAG
rnacentral:rRNA from 1 species